GCGGCGGGUGCUGUCGCGGUCAAUGCGCCCGAUUGGACAGUCGGGAAAACGGCGGCGCAGGUAAUCGGCAACGCGCUCCGUCCCCUGCCCGAGCGGGCGCAAAUCCGUCCCGCCGCA
rnacentral:tRNA from 1 species